UUUUCUGUAGCUCAGUCAGUAGAGCGCAGCAUUAGCAACAUAGAGGUAAUGGGUUCAAUUCCCAGGGCAAUAA